GACGAACGCUGGCGGCGUGCUUAACACAUGCAAGUCGAACGGAAAGGCCCUGCUUUUGUGGGGUGCUCGAGUGGCGAACGGGUGAGUAACACGUGAGUAACCUGCCCUUGACUUUGGGAUAACUUCAGGAAACUGGGGCUAAUAUCGGAUAGGAUCUCCUGCUGCAUGGUGGGGGUUGGAUAGUUUCGGCGGUUGGGGAUGGACUCGCGGCUUAUCAGCUUGUUGGUGGGGUAGUGGCUUACCAAGGCUUUGACGGGUAGCCGGCCUGAGAGGGUGACCGGCCACAUUGGGACUGAGAUACGGCGCAGACUCCUACGGGAGGCAGCAGUGGGGAAUAUUGCACAAUGGGCGGAAGCCUGAUGCAGCAACGCCGCGUGCGGGAUGACGGCCUUCGGGUUGUAAACCGCUUUCGCCUGUGACGAAGCGUGAGUGACGGUAAUGGGUAAAGAAGCACCGGCUAACUACGUG
rnacentral:rRNA from 1 species